rnacentral:rRNA from 1 species
CCUACGGGUGGCUGCAGUGGGGAAUAUUGGGCAAUGGGCGCAAGCCUGACCCAGCAACGCCGCGUGAAGGAAGAAGGCUUUCGGGUUGUAAACUUCUUUUCUGAGGGACGAAGAAAGUGACGGUCCCUCAGGAAUAAGCCACGGCUAACUACGUGCCCGCAGCCGCGGUAAUACGUAGGUGGCAAGCGUUAUCCGGAUUUAUUGGGUGUAAAGGGCGCGUAGGCGGGAAAGCAAGUCAGAUGUGAAAACUCAGGGCUCAACCCUGAGCCUGCAUUUGAAACUGUUUUGCUGGAGUGCGGGAGAGGCAAUCGGAAUUCCGGGUGUAGCGGUGAAAUGCGUAGAUAUACGGAGGAACACCAGUGGCGAAGGCGGAUUGCUGGACAGUAACUGACGCUGAGGCGCGAAAGCGUGGGGAGCAAACAGGAUUAGAUACCCGUGUAGUC